rnacentral:rRNA from 1 species
UACGUAGGGUGCGAGCGUUAAUCGGAAUUACUGGGCGUAAAGCGUGCGCAGGCGGUUUUGUAAGGCAGAUGUGAAAUCCCCGGGCUUAACCUGGGAAUGGCAUUUGGGACUGCAAGGCUGGAGUGUGGCAGAGGAGACUGGAAUUCCUGGUGUAGCAGUGAAAUGCGUAGAUAUCUGGAGAAACACCGGUGGCGAAGGCGGCAUCCUGGACCGGCAUUGACGCUGAGGCGCGAAAGCCAGGGGAGCAAACGGG